UACGGAGGGUGCAAGCGUUAAUCGGAAUUACUGGGCGUAAAGCGCACGCAGGUGGCUGAGUCAGUCGAUUGUGAAAGCCCUGGGCUUAACCUGGGAAUUGCAGUCGAUACUACUCAGCUAGAGUAUGGGAGAGGGUAGUGGAAUUCCCGGUGUAGCGGUGAAAUGCGUAGAUAUGUGGAGGAACACCGAUGGCGAAGGCAGCCCCCUGGGAUGUGACUGACGCUCAUGUACGAAAGCGUGGGGAGCAAACAGG
rnacentral:rRNA from 1 species